rnacentral:rRNA from 1 species
UUCGCCACCGGUGUUCCUCCAUAUAUCUACGCAUUUUCACCGCUACACAUGGAAUUCCACUCUCCCCUUCUGCACUCAAGUUAAACAGUUUCCAAAGCGUACUAUGGUUAAGCCACAGCCUUUAACUUCAGACUUAUCUAACCGCCUGCGCUCGCUUUACGCCCAAUAAAUCCGGACAACGCUCGGGACCUACGUAUUACCGCGGCUGCUGGCACGUAGUUAGCCGUCCCUUUCUGGUAAGAUACCGUCACAGUGUGAACUUUCCACUCUCACACUCGUUCUUCCUUAACAACAGAGCUUUACGAUCCGAAAACCUUCUUCACUCACGCGGCGUUGCUCGGUCAGGGUUCCCCCCAUUGCCGAAGAUUCCCUACUGCUGCCUCCCGUAGGAGUCUGGGCCGUGUCUCAGUCCCAGUGUGGCCGAUCACCCUCUCAGGUCGGCUAUGUAUCGUCGCCUAGGUGAGCCGUUACCUCACCUACUAGCUAAUACAACGCAGGUCCAUCUGGUAGUGAUGCAUUUGCACCUUUUAAACAUCUACCAUGCAGUAAAUGUUCUUAUGCGGUAUUAGCUAUCGUUUCCAAUAGUUAUCCCCCGCUACCAGGCAGGUUACCUACGCGUUACUCACCCGUUCGCAACUCACAGAAUACGGUGUAGUAAACUACGGUGCAUCCUGUGCGUUCUACUUGCAUGUAUUAGGCACGCCGCCAGCGUUCGUCCUGAGCCAGGAUCAAACCCUG